rnacentral:rRNA from 1 species
UACAGAGGUGGCAAGCGUUGUUCGGAAUUACUGGGCGUAAGGGCGCGUCGGCGGCUUGGUCAGUCCCGUGUGAAAUCCCUCGGCUCAACUGAGGAACUGCACGGGAAACUGCCUGGCUUGAGUUCGGGAGAGGGAAGCGGAAUUCCAGGUGUAGCGGUGAAAUGCGUAGAUAUCGGGAGGAACACCAGUGGCGAAGGCGACUACCUGGCCUGUUUCUUGACGCUGAGGCGCGAAAGCUAGGGGAGCAAACGGG